ACGGGAGGCAGCAGUAAGGAAUAUUGGUCAAUGGACGAAAGUCUGAACCAGCCAUGCCGCGUGGAGGAUGAAGGUCCUCUGGAUUGUAAACUUCUUUUAUAUGGGACGAAAAAAGGGUUUUCUAACUCGUCUGACGGUACCAUAUGAAUAAGCACCGGCUAACUCCGUGCCAGCAGCCGCGGUAAUACGGAGGGUGCAAGCGUUAUCCGGAUUCACUGGGUUUAAAGGGUGCGUAGGUGGGUUGGUAAGUCAGUGGUGAAAUCCCCGAGCUUAACUUGGGAACUGCCAUUGAUACUAUCAGUCUUGAAUACCGUGGAGGUCAGCGGAAUAUGUCAUGUAGCGGUGAAAUGCUUAGAUAUGACAUAGAACACCAAUUGCGAAGGCAGCUGGCUACACGAAUAUUGACACUGAGGCACGAAAGCGUGGGGAUCAAACAGGAUUAGAUACCCUGGUA
rnacentral:rRNA from 1 species